GAUUUUCCAAAAAUAAUUUACCUUUGGACAGAGACAAAGCCUGGAAAGAUUCAGCUCAAAACGUGUAUGUUGGAGGCUAAUAGGGGAAGAUCGUGUAUUGUUUUUAAAUCAGAUGGCAGCAAUAACUCAAGCUUCCUUGCACUGCUCUGCUGUUAUUCCUCAGCCCUGAAGAAACCACCUCUAAAGAUUGAGAAGAACCACUGUAGCCAGACUGACCCAUCUGUUCCUUGGAGCUUGUCUAUAAAAAGGAGAGAGAAACGUCCCUUAGAAUUUUACCUCAGAUUUGUAUGUGUUCCAGUUUGACAUCUUCCUGACAUUGCUGAUCUGUUCAACAGACUUGCAUCUGAGAGACACCAUCAG